rnacentral:rRNA from 1 species
UGGGGAAUAUUGCACAAUGGGCGCAAGCCUGAUGCAGCCAUGCCGCGUGUAUGAAGAAGGCCUUCGGGUUGUAAAGUACUUUCAGCGGGGAGGAAGGCGAUAAGGUUAAUAACCUUGUCGAUUGACGUUACCCGCAGAAGAAGCACCGGCUAACUCCGUGCCAGCAGCCGCGGUAAUACGGAGGGGGCAAGCGGUAAUCGGAAUUACUGGGCGUAAAGCGCACGCAGGCGGUCUGUCAAGUCGGAUGUGAAAUCCCCGGGCUCAACCUGGGAACUGCAUUCGAAACUGGCAGGCUAGAGUCUUGUAGAGGGGGGUAGAAUUCCAGGUGUAGCGGUGAAAUGCGUAGAGAUCUGGAGGAAUACCGGUGGCGAAGGCGGCCCCCUGGACAAAGACUGACGCUCAGGUGCGAAAGCGUGGGGAGCAACA